CCGCUCCCGGUAAAAGGACGCGCCAGAGGACCCUAAAUCUGUUUCUAAGUAACUCUGAGAAAACCAUAAAUAAUCAAAACUUUCAACAACGGAUCUCUUGGUUCUGGCAUCGAUGAAGAACGCAGCAAAAUGCGAUAAGUAAUGUGAAUUGCAGAAUUCAGUGAAUCAUCGAAUCUUUGGAACGCACAUUGCGCCCGCCAGUAUUCUGGCGGGCAUGCCUGUUCGAGCGUCAUUUCACCCUCACGGUUUGGUGUUGGGGAUCGCGAGCCUUCGGCCCCGAAAUCUGUGGCGGUCUCGCUGAGCUUUGCGUAGUAGUAACCCUCGCAACUGGUACGCGGCGCGGACAAGCCGUUAAACCCCAACUUCUGAA
rnacentral:rRNA from 1 species